UUUAGGGUUUAGGGUUUAGGGUUUAGGGUUUAGGGGUUUAGGGUUUAGGGUUUAGGGUUAGGGUUUAGGGUUUAGGGUUAGGGUUAGGGUUUAGGGUUUAGGGUUUAGGGUUUAGGGUUUAGGGUUAGGGUUAGGGUUUAGGGUUUAGGGUUUAAGGUUUAGGGUUUAGGGUUUAGGGUUUUUUAUGGGAAAGAGGCCGAAGCCUCGGCAAAGAUUUUAUAAAUUCAAAAAGAAAAAUACAAGAGUUAUGUCAUUUUUGGACAAACCCCAAAAAUGACCAAGAUCCAAAUAUCACGCAAAUACCAAAACCAAAGGCUAACCCUAGCAACAAUUUAACCAAAGAAAAUACAAAUUAUUUUUACCCAACUCCACAACCCGGAGUGGUCUUCAAAAUUCUUUUCCAACACGAAUUGAACUCGCCAUCUUUUCUCCAAAUCUUCAUAGAUGCAAUCUCUUUGUAUGUUCCACAUCCAAAUGCUAAAAAUAACACAAUUCCCAUGAACAAAAUUAUCCCAAAAGUUCCACAAAAAAAUGUAUAUAGUAUCCACAAUCCAAUUCCCAAUAAUAUCCACAAUAGCAAUCUUCUUUCUUCUUUCCACCCUUUUAUCUUUAUUUUCAUAUAUGUAUAACGAAAGUAUAAUGCUAAAAAUAGCCACACUAUCAUCCUCUCUAUCCACAAUCUUCCAAUUCUUACAAUCCUCUUUCCUAUAGCCCCCAAAAAAUAUAUCUAUAUCCAAAGUCCUUCCAAUUCUCAUCAAAAAAAACUAAUUUUUUAUAGCACUUGCCAUCAAAACCUCUUUUAUGCACAUCAAAAGUCUCCAAAAACAUCUUCAAUAAAGCCUUCCAAUUAUCUUCCAUUCCAAAAAAUAUCAAUAAGUUCUUUAAAACAUCUCCAUCUUCAAUAAAGCUAAAAUGAAUAUAUUCGUCAAUUCCAUGGAUGUAAACACCUUGUUUCCAAGGUGUGCAUUCACUUUUAAGGGAAAAAGUGAUAAAAAUGUAACGUCCCGGGUUUUCUCGGUACGUUUGGUUAUUUUAAUUUAAUUAUCCUUGUAACCUGGGUUAAUUUAUUUAACCAAUGUCUGAUUUCUUAUGUUAUUGGACUCUUUUGAUCAUCUUGUAAACUCCUUUUAUUGAAGUCCAUAGGCUAUGGGCCUAUUUGCAAAGUCCAUCUAGUUAAUAGUACUUAAUGUGUAAAUUGAAUCAUUUGGAACACACACAAGGAAAACACUCUAAACCCUCCCUCUCUCUCAAAAAUCGUCCCUCUCUCUCUCUUUGGGAUCAAGAGCAGCCAAGGGGCUGUUUGGAGCUUAAUUCUUAUUCAUUUCCAGCCUUGAUUCGUAUUGGUAUGAACCUNCCCGAACUCAGACAGCGCUUCGUUUCUUAAAAAUAAUUUCUUUCGACGGAACCUAGUAUUAUUAGCACUAGAGUUUAGUCUAUUAUUUGUCGAGACUAAUUAAUAGUCUAGCNGCUCUAGUUUUAUGAUUUCAUCUUCACCUCUUCUCCUUCUUAUUUUAUUUGUAAUUUUAUUUUAUACAUCAUCUCAAGAUCCUAUCUUCACCCCAUAUAUGGUGGAUGAUGGAUCUAGGGGAUUACAUGUGGCAAAAGAUCAUGGAAACCCUAAAAGGGAGAAUGAUGAUUUUAUGUGCUUAUGUUUAUUUUCAUGUUGAUUAUUAUUACAUCCUUGUGGCUAAAUGAAAUCCUAAUGAUCCCUAACCCUUUUUAGUACCACCAAUAUCAUGGGGACUGAAUUGGGAUGAUGAACACAUCUUAAAAUGUGUUUCAAAAGGAGAAGGAUGGAUAAGCCAAAAAGGAAUCACGGGUGGCUACGAUUCUGUUUUCCAUCAGAUCUGUAGUCAUUUUGUAAAAAUCAUAUCUGGAGCUCUAGAACUCAAACGGACCCCAAACCAGUUCCAAAAGUUCACAAAUUGAGUUGGCUAACUUUCUUAAGAAGGCCAACCUCACUGAUAAGGGCUUUAUCUAUGUGAAAGAAUGGCAUCUUUGCUGUUAGGUCUGAUCCGGGUCUGUUCUGAUAUGUCAUUUUGUUUUCAUCAUUUCUAAGGCUUGGAAAAGGAUCCAGAGUGAUUCCAAGUUUCUAUAUGUUCCUUAUAUUAUGAAUUUAAGAUCUGGAGAAUAUGGGGUGUUAUUUCCAAUUAUAAAUUGGUUAGAAUGGAUCCACACUCCAGGUCAGUGGGCAGUCACCAGCUUUUGCUAGUGCUGUGAUUGUCCACAAUGUGAAUUUUAUAUCUGGAGUUUGAGAGAUGCUUUUCAUUCAAUUCCAACUCUGAGACUUUCACUUGUAUGUCCUUUACUUCUCUUAAUUUUCUUUUGGACGAAUUCUACUCACAAGUUGGGUAGAAUUGGCCAACAUCACUUGACUGUAUUGUUGGAGACAGAAGUGAUACACCAUUUUGUAAAAUUCAUAUUUAAUUCAUCUUUUGGAGUUAGAAUGAGUUCUUUAUAGUUGUGGAAUCCUGAGCAAUCAUAGUUUCCUAUAAAAUUUAGUUAAAGCUAUGUUUCUGUUUUAGAUUUUGGAGUAAAUCCGUUUUGAACAGCAGGUCUGUUUUAGAGACCUUGCUGUGAUUACUCUUUUCUCAACUCAUAGCUUCAUUACUUCUCCUUUCUAACCUUUAGUCCUUCUUAGGUGAGGUUUUGAAGUUUGCUCAAGCUUGGUAGCAUUAUUUGAUUGUUAGCCAUCCUUAAUACUCACUCAAGGUGAGUUCUCUCACACCGUUGUAUUGAUGAUUGUGUUUGCUAGUUAGCUCGUGUGUGAUUAUUUGAAUUUAUUAUAAAAGCAUGCUAUAUAAGUAUUGUUUUAAUUCGUACAUGUGCACUGUAUGUAACUAAUUAUGGAUAUGGGGACACCACCAAAGGAUACGGAUUUACCGGUGCGGUGGGUAGGUAAGAUCACCAACGUAAUACUCUUCGUGAGGUGCGGUGAUUAGGGCCAAAUGAUACGGGAUCUUCCCGGUGCGGUUCAAACCUACAAGUCCUUCUCGUAAUAUAGACAUUGAUUCGUUCUUUGCCUUUAUCAUUAUAAUUGGAAAAUGGAUUAGGGCUAGUAAAUAUGAAUGUUAGUACAAUGUCUGUGUUUGAAUUCACUAAGCUUCGUGCUUACGUUUUUCCCUUAUAACUUUUCAGGUGUUAAGAUUAAAGAGGCUAAGGCUUGACAUGGAGCAUCGGGACAUCGCUACUAGUUAUUUUGUUGGGACCUUAUUAUUAUUAUUACUUCCGCACUUAUUUUAUAUGAUUAUUAAGUUGAUGGAUUAUGUUAUGACUAUUUCAGUUGUUUUAAUUUAAUUUAAGAUGGGUUUUAAAAGUUUAAAAUUUUUGCAAAAAAAAUUGGGUGUCACAAGUUGGUAUCAGAGCCACAGUUUGAGGGAACUAGGCAUUCUUGUGGAUGUUCUAGACUCAAAUUUGAGGCUCUAUAAGAGUUUAUUUUCUUUUUAAAAUAUUUUUCAAACCUUCUAAAGACUAGUAGUGGAAGAUGUCGCGGUGUACCAGUCAGCCAGCCAAGUAAGCCUUAUUUCUUAUGUUAAAUGUUUAUGUUAAAUUGUUGACUAUGAAUUGGAUUCUACUAGCCUUAAAAUAUUAGAUUACACACUUAGUUAGUGUUAACAUGUGAGAGAGUUGUAAAAUUAACCGCUAGAGCGAACUGGAAAUUUUGAAACUAGACGCGAAUGCGAAAUUGGAACUUGUGUGGAAGGUAGUAGAAGGGCCCCUACUAUUUGAAACAUCGGUGCCGGUUUCGAGUCGGGGCAAGGUUGAAAAAUUUUCGGCAAGCUGAGUGUUUUGUCUUCCUAGAAAUAUCUAGGCUGAAUUGUUUCUAAGAUUUUCCUUCUUCUGUGGAUACCAAUGGCUCUGCCUGCUCGACUUAAUCAGCUCCAAAUGGAGCAAGUGAGGGAUAUUGUCGCUGAGGAAUUCAAUAACGGUUUCAACGAACUAAUCCCGGGUGUGACCAACGACAUAAUCAACCAAUUCGGUGCUCUUCUGGAUGAGCGCCUCGCGGCUAUUCCCAGGGAAGCGUUAUUGUCUCUGCCUGUUCAGGAUUCGGCAUACUACUUAGAGAAGUUCAACAAGUGUAGCCCUCCUCUUUGGAAUGGUGAAUCCUUUUACAACUUUAUGAAAAAAAGCUGUAUUUGCAUCUCCCUCCUUAAGCCACUGAACUUUAGCUCUUUGCUUUAAGUAACACUCUUCUUCCCAGCUGGCUUUCAGAAAAGAUUGGAGAUAAAUUCCUUCUUCAAAUCUCAAAUCUUCAUUACAUGGGUCUUUAUCAAGAAUAUUCUGAACCCGGCAUAACUCUUCUCUACACUUGAAAACUUUUUCUGCAUAAUUGCCUUGAGAUUUUAAUAAAUUCCUGAGAGGCUUCUUUAAGAGUUUCAAUUUCUGACAAAGCCGGAACAUUCCAUACCCCUCAAUUUCAGAUUUCUAGACAUUAUCAACAAUGGGAAGAAAAUUAUCUAACAGCACAAGGGAGUUAACAAACUUGAAAGGCCUAAUCCUGAACUUCUUUUUAAUUGGGAAUUUGAUAAUCAUAGGACUAUGAUCCGAAUUCCUGUAAGGCUGGAAAUUUGCAAACACAUUGGGAUAAUCUUCAAUAAAUUUCAGAUUCCCCAGAACACGAUCAAGUUUUUUGUAACGCCUGUGUUUCCGGGCUUGCCAUUUUUAGCAAUGUAAUAGUUUAGGUUAACCUCUGUAACCCGUUUUGAAAUAAUAAGAUUGUAUUAUUUGAGUAUUAUAUGUUUUUUGCUUAAUUAUGUGGUUUGAUUAAUUAAGAAUAAAAAUAAGCGUCAAAAUUUAGGUGUAAAAUAAACUUGAUAUCUUUGGUUAAUGUUGUUGUAGUUGAAACGAGGUUUCCAAAUAUAAAUAGAACGCCCAAAUCUGACUUCGUAUGAGGAAGUUAUGAUUUAUCGAAGUUUCGGCUUAGCGGUGUGCAGCCCGAAAUACUCGAUUUGAGAUCGAGCGGUUUUUAGCCGAAGAAACCUAAACGAGGAUCGAAGGUCUCGUUGUUGGUAUCGAAGCGAUAAAAAGUUAGGCGAGAACGGACGUCAAACGAAGAAGUUAUGAAUUUAUAACGAAGUUUUUCUGUGGCGGCCUAUUAAAAAUAAAUAAUAAAAAUAAAGUCAAAAUUAGCCGACGGAGUCUAAACGAAAGUUGUAGAGCAUGGUCUCACCUUCGCGUGGAUAUAAAGAACGUCGAAAACGGAGUUCGUAUGAAGAAGAUAUGAAUUUCCGAAGUUUAUUAAAUAAAUUUUAUUUAUUUUUAAUCUUUUAAUCCGACAUUAUCCGAAGACGAGUCACUGGUCCGAUCCGAGUACGCCCCGCGUACUCCGAAGAGUGUCGACAUUUCGGAUGANNNNNNNNNNNNNNNNNNNNNNNNNNNNNNNNNNNNNNNNNNNNNNNNNNNNNNNNNNNNNNNNNNNNNNNNNNNNNNNNNNNNNNNNNNNNNNNNNNNNAAAAUCGGUCUUUUCUGGCCGAGAUUUUGGGGAUGUCACAUUUUUUCAAAGCCCUUGAAACCCCACGCGGUCUUUGAUUCCAAGUGUAAUGUAAACCAUUACGAUUAAUAUCUUGGACUUCAAUACGAUUGAUGCACUCGUUAAAUUCCACCAUACCCUUCGAUAUUUUAGAAUUACUAGCCAUCGAGUCCACAAGUUCCUUAGUAACAACAUUAAAGUCUCCAACAAUCAACCACGGAUGACCAGCAACCAAACAAUAAUGUUUUUCCAGAGAAUCCCAAAGUUUCCUUCUGUCUAUAUAAUAAUUGCAAGCAUAGACAAAAGAACAAAACAACCUCUUAUUCUCUUUAAUGAAAAGGACUUGACAAUGCAUCACCUGACUAUUAGCAUCCAACGGCAUGACAAAAACUUCAUCCGGGUCCCAUCCAAUGAUAAUAUGAGUGCCUUUAGGGAUCAUGUCUUGAUUCGAAAUCCACAUCCAGUUUCCAAAAACUUUAUUGCAAGUCAUUUGCAGCUUAUUAAAUCUCAGCUGAGAUUUAAGAAUAGCAAACAAAGACAAAUUAUUACUUUUGAUCACAUUCUUUAUUUCCUCAUGUUUAGGCCUUAAAUUAGAACCCCUCACAUUCCAGCAUCCAAUAUUCAUCAUCAUUGAUCAACAAUUGUAUUUUCGGUGCUUGUCUCCUGGGCACCUCCAGCUAAAAUCUCCGGGUCAAUCUCAUCUAAAUAAGACAUAUCCCUUAAUCCCAAUUCAGAUAAAACAUCAAAAGGAUUUUGUGAUAUUAUCUCAUCUUGAUCACUUUUACCAGAAGUAGAACCUUUAUUAUCAAAGUUAGAACUAACUUUAAUAUCCACUUGCUUCUUAGGAACAUAUACCUUUUUCUGGCCUUUUUCUUUUUUUCCCCUGCAUUUCUUCUUUUCUGGCAUUAAAAUUUUCAAUUACAUUCUUCACUCUUGUCCCCAGUUUUUCUUUUGGGAUAAAAACCCCUGUUCCACUCAUUUUACCACUUUUACCCUCCUUUGACUGAAAUACCCCUUUCUCUUUCCCAUCUUUUUUAAGAUUUCCCACAGGAAAUUUCGAGAAAUUUCCCCCAUUAUUUCUAUUAUCAGUUCCUUUACUAAUUCGAUCUUCUUUUUGAGCUCCCUUUUGACUUUCUUGUUCUUUAACUUGCUUGCUUUUUUCCUUUCCUUGAUUAUCCACAUCUUUUGAAAUUCCUUCAUUGUUGCUAAUAGUAACUCCUUCACUAAUAGGGAUCGUGCUUUCCUCCAAAGAUUUAAUCAAAUCCACUUUGCCAUUUUCAUUAAUAACCACAUCAGGACUAAACUUCUGUCCUUUGUUGUUCUUCUUUGUGACUAAGAUAAAACCAUCAUCACCAACUUGCUCUUUUUUCCCAUUUUCUUCUAAGUUAACAGCUUCAUCAGCAACAUUAUCGGUUUUCAAUCUAUUUAAAAUCCCAUAAUUGCUAUUCUUAUGUCCAUAAACUUUGCAGUGAUUACAAACAUCAGGCCUCCACGCAUACUCUACCCUGCAUUUUGAUUCAACUUUUUCUCCUGUCCCAAAGUCAAUUGAGACAACACUUAACUCUUUCAUCCAUUCUGAUUCUGCUGACAUUUCCACAAGAAAUCUCAUAAAUGCUAGCCUUCCCCAAUGUUCAUUACACAUUUUCUGAGUGAUUUUAUCCAUAGCAAUUGGCUUCCCAAUCUCAUUAGCAAUCAAUGUGAUUCCUUUGCUGUUCCAAUACUCCAAAGGCACAUUAAAGACUUUGACCCACACAGGAACUGAAUUGAUUUGAGGUUUACUCAGAACUAGACCUAGCCUCCAUCUUUGAACGAACAUAGGCACAUUAUUAAUAAGCCAUGGACCUCCCUCCAGGACACUCAUUGUAACGCCUGUGUUUCCGGGCUUGCCAUUUUUCGCAAUGUAAUAGUCUAGGUUAACCUCCGUAACCCGUUUUGAAAUAAUAAGAUUGUAUUAUUUGAGUUUUGUGUGUUUUGUGCUUAAUUGCUUAAUUAUGUGGUUUGAUUAAUUAAGAAUAAAAAUAAGCGUCAAAAUUUAAGUGUAAAAUAAACUUAAUAUAUUUGGUUAAUGUUGUAGUAAUUGAAACGACGGUUUCCGAAUAUAUAUAGAACGCCCAAAUCUGACUUCGUAUGAGGAAGUUAUGAUUUAUCGAAGUUCCGGCUUAGCGGUAUACAGCCUAAAAUACUCGAAUUGAGAUCGAGCGGUUUUUAGCCGAAGCAAUCUAAAUGAGAAUCGAAGAUCUCAUUGUUGGUAUCGAAGCGAUAAAAAGUUAGGCGAGAACGGACGUCAAACGAAGAAGUUAUGAAUUUAUAACGAAAGUUUCUGUCCCGGCCUAUUAAAAAUAAUUAAUAAAAAUAAAGUCAAAAUUAGCCGACGGAGUCUAAACGAAAGUCGUAGAGCGUGGUCUCACCUUUCCGUGGAUAUAAAGAACGUCGAAAACGGAGUUCGUAUGAAGAAGUUAUGAAUUUCCGAAGUUUAUUAAUCAUUUUGUAUUUAUAUUUAAAUCAAAAUUCGGAAGCAUUAUCCGAAGGAGUCACCGAUCUGAUCCGAGGUACGCCCCGCGUACUCGAGUACGCCCCGCGUACUCCGAGGGAUGUCGACACUCGCACUCGAGCACUUCGGAUACGUAAGCAAUGACGUUUUGGGCAGUACGCCCCGCGUAACGCAGUACGCCCCGCGUACUCCGAGGCUCCAGCCUCCUAUAAAUAGGAUGCGAGGGUUCCGGGUAUUUUUGCCAAUUCCCUCUCGUUUUCGUGUCGAAGCUCUGUGCAAAAACCCCCGAAGCUACCCCGAAGUCCCGGUAUCAUACUCUAGCCCCGAGGCAAGUCCCGAGAUCCCGAAGAUCCCGAAAAGUGCGGUUCCCGAGUCGAAGCUCUGCCCGCGAGAAGUUCGAUUUUCGAGAAGAUCUUCCAGAUCUGCUGUGGAUUACUACUUCUAUAAGCCGUAGUGCUGUCCGAUCAUCUUCUGAUCAAGUGAGUGUGUAGUUAUUUCUUCUAAUACAAUAAUACGAAGUAUUUUAUAUAAAAAUACGUGCUAUGUGUAUAUAUUUGGUUGUGUUAUGUGUGAAUGAGUAUUCACUCUCUUCUAUCUUAUAGAUCUGCUUAUUUCUUUAUGAGAUAUGUGUUAUGUGUGUGUGUGCCUCAUCUGUUAUGUGAUAUAUGUGUUGAUUAAAGCAUGCUAUACAGGUUUUCUUUAAACUAUGUAUACAAAUGUAUAUUUUUAUCUACUAAUAUGUUGGGUAGAACAUGGGUAGACAGUUGGUGUGUAAUAAACAGAUGAGAGGCCUCGUUGUUGUUUGAUUGAGUCAUCUAGCGGAGUUUAGAUGACGACCACUGGCUAUUCUAGACAGUCUUGUGGAAACAUUAGCAGGUUCGCCACCUGUAGGUGUUAAUGAACUUGGGUGUUCAUUCGCUGUACUCCAUCCCCCUCAUGGUUGCCUUAUUUGACUUAUAUUGCCGAGGUACCCCCGAAGCAUGUGUUGUCGCCCCGAUGAAAUAUUCUUAGACUAGGUCCCUUAUGUUAGUUGUUUUAGGGACAUUAAAGUGAGAAUAACGGGAAUGGGUAAUUGGGUUAUUGUUGGUUGGUGAAAAUUAAAUAUGAUAUUUAUUGUGGGUUGAAAACCCUAUAUGCUCACCAGGCUCCCAAUCCUGACCCACUCAGUUUUAAAUUGUAUUACAGGUAGUGGCGGAAAGGCAUGAGAUGGAUGAACCAUCAAGUUGUUUUGUUUACAAGUCUGCAUAUGUUUAUAUUUGUUAUAUGACUUGUAAUGUAUUCGUUUAUGCUUAUUGGUCUGUAUCGGAACAUGACACCCCGAGUUUUGAUUAUAAUGAAAAUACAUUUCUUUUAUGAAAUGCUUCGGUAAACAAUGUUUUAUCAUGUUUUGUUUUUGGGAACAAAUUCCGCAACUCUUUCAAAUCAAAAGGAUUUACUCUGAAAAUAUUUAAAAGCAUAAAUGAAAAUCGGUCUUUUCUGGCCAAGAUUUUGGGGAUGUCACACUCAUCAUACCUUCCUUUGAAUCAAACUUGAAGAAAAAGAACCCUUCAUCAUUUACCAUUAUAUCCUUCAAUCCAAAAAUCUUCCACAUCUUAAAAGAGAAAUGAUUGACAGUUGGGAACGCAAGUUUCUUUCCCACAAAAAAACCAUAAAGCGUAGCAUGAUAAGGAGCUCCACCAAGCAUAAGAUCCGCAUAAGGCAAUUCAACUUUCCCAUUAGGCUUCCCAUCAACUUUUGGAAUUACUUUGAUGUUUAGAUCAACCACAGUGUUUGUAGCUUCUACCAUACGAGCAUAAGAUUUUUUGUUGAAAUCACUAACCAGUUUAGUUGCAGGGGAUAUGACAGGCUUAAAAAAAUCCAUCUUCAAGAAAUUAACUCCCUGUUCCUUUUUCGCAUUGUUACCAGCGUCAUUAUCCAGAUUCUCACUUUCAUUCAUUAAAUCUUUCAUAUCUUCAUCAUUACAAUUAAUAGGACAACUGAUUGGGACAUUAAGAUUAGCAUCAGAGAUCGAAGGGGGACCUGAAUUUAUAGGAACAGCCUGCGAUAAUGGAGACUUUCCCAAAAUACCCUUGUCACUUUUUGUUUCGAUCAUGGAACCAGGAGCUGAAGAAGAAGAUCCCAUCGCCAUAUUCUUCGAUGAAUUAAAUCCCUUAACCAUAUCCGAUGUGACUUGAAGUAGAACAAAACCCUUUUCCUCUUCCAUUUUCUUUUUCUCUUCAGCGAUCGCCUUAUCCAAAGCAUCAAGUUCCGAUUUGAUGAUAUCUGGAUCAACAUUCUCUUUCCCAUAGCUUGAUUUAAUUACUUCACGUAUUCCUGCUCUUAAACCCACCUUCGAACCUUCAAAGGAUGAUUUUGAAUUCAAGUACUUCUUCUCUUCUUCUAAUCGGUUGGCUUUUGCUUCAAUUUUAUUUUUCAAUCUGAGAGGUUUAACUCCAGAGUAUGGCGAAAUUUCUUUGUGCAUCGCUCUUCUACCUCUUCUCCUAGCUCCAACAUCAGCUUCCAAUUCAUCUUCAUACAACUUUUUGUAAUCUGGAUCAGGAGGGUCAGUGGAAUUCAUGCCGAACAUACUUCCAAAUUUUCCAAACAUUGAAUCUUCACCUACACAGAUCGUAAAUGAAGCUCACUGAAUACAAUCCUUGCAAUGAGAUGGAAAUUCCGGCACCAGAUUGACUCCGAUCAGCCAAAAUCUUCCGCCAAGUCACACGCAAAACCUGGAAAAACGAGAGAGAAAUCUUAGAGAGAGAAAGUUAGAGAGAGAAAUUUUUUUGCAAAAUGACUUGGGUUUAGGGUUUAGGGUUUGGGGUUUGGGGUUUGGGGUUUAGGGUUUAGGGUUUAGGGUUUAGGGUUUGAGGUUUGAGGUUUGGGGUGUAGGGUUUGGGGUGUAGGGUUUGGGGUGUGGGGUUUGGGGUUUAGGGUUUGGGGUUUGGGGUUUGGGGUUUAGAGUUUCGGGUUUCGGGUUUCGGGUUUUGGGUUUCGAGUUUCGGGUUUAGGGUUUAGGGUUUAGGGUUUAGGGUUUAGGGUUUAGGGUUUAGGGUUUAGGGUUUAGGGUUUGGGGUUUGGGGUUUAGGGUUUAGGGUUUAGGGUUUAGGGUUUUUUUUUUGGAUAAAAGGGGAGACCCCUUGGCAAAAUUUAUUGAAAAGAAAGAAAAAUUACAAAAGGAGAGAGGGCAACCGCCCCAAAAAAAACUAACUACAAAAACCUAACAAACAACUAAAAACUAAUCUAAACAAUAAUUUUUAAAAGGACAAAAAGACCUAUCUAACAAAAACCAACCAAUCCAUUUCCAUGUCCAACUCCAAAGCAAAGUAUGAAACCAAACAUAGCUUCCAAAGAAAUAAACAAUUAGCUCCAUAUCAAAAAUCUUCCAUCUUGUGAAAUCUUCAAAAUAUUCAAUCUUCAAGUAGCCUUUAAACCUCCACCAAACCAAAUCCCAAAAAAUGGCCUCAUACUCAAACAUAUAAUCCAAGGUUUGGGUAAUAUCAAUCUUACAAAACAUCCAAGGAACUUCCAAAUCAAGAGAAUCAUUAGCCAAAUCAAUCAAACCAUCAUAAAAAUUCAAAAUUCUCCAAACCGGAAUAAAUCCAAGAAUAGCAAUUAACUUUGAACUUUGAGCUUUACUCUUCAUGCAAUACUUUCCAAUCAUCUCCAAAAACCAAUUGUUGAACUUCUUUCCAAUCUUUACUUGAAAAACCCAUAUGCUCCAAAAAAUAAGCCCAAUAUCCUUCACAAAAUUCUUGAAACAAUUCCUAAAAUUGUCAAUAAGAUCUUCCACAAAUUUUCCAAUAUCCUCUUUAACUAAAUCAAAAAUCUUCCAAUUCCAUGAAAGUAUGAUGCUAAAACCGGUAUGACCAAUCAAAUCCCACCAUUUCCAAAGAUUCUUCAAAUUUUCUCCAAACUCUAUCUUGCACAAACUAUUCCAAUUAAUUUUCAAAAAUUCUUCCAAAGGAAUAAACCAAAAAUUCCAAAAAUGCCCUUGAUGAGUAACCCAUCUUCUAACGAAAAAAGAGCUCAUAGAACCGGAAAAAUCACAAUCACCAAGGUCAUAAAUUUCCAAUCCGCCAACACUCUUCUUAAGAAUCACUCCAAAGAUAAGAAACCCGUCAAUUCCUUUUUUAAUGGGAAUAUUCCAAAAAUACCCCUGAAGGUUAAUUCCUAAAUAAUUAAGAAUUGAACCUUCAAAAUCCACAUCAAAGGUAAAAUUACCAAUGAUAACCGGGAUAGACCGGUUUGCAUUAAAAACUUGGUAAAACCAAGAAGAAAAAACGAUCCAAAAGUGGUUGUUUCUUUGAAAACAAGGGAAACAAUCAACCCAAAUGUGGUACAGUCUAAGGUUAACGUACCCAAUCCAGUGUAUUAACGGGUAAAAAUCCCCCCACUUGCUAAUCGAACUAGCAGUGGCACACACUAAAGUGGAGAUUCCUAGUUGCCUAGGAAGAAGAUUCCAACUAACAGGGAUCAAACCCAUUUGCUUUAAAAAAUUGACCACUUCAAAGGAAAAAUUCCAAUGAAUUAUGGGAUAAACCAGAAAGCAAAUACCAAGAUAAGAAUCCCUAAGGAUCCAAAAGUGGUUGUUUUUAUGAAGACAAAGGAAACAACCAACCUGUUUGUGGUACAGUUUAAGGAAAACGUACCCAAUCCGUGGUAUUACCGGGUGAUUAUCCCACCACUUGCUAAUCGAACUAGCAGUGGCACCCACCGAAGUGGAGACUCCAAGUUGCCAAGGAGGAAAACAACCAAAAAUGGGAAUCAAACCCAUUUGUAUCAAGAAAAGAACCACUUCAAAGGUAAAUCUACCAAUGAAAUCCGGGAUAAACCGGAUAGCAUUAACCAUACAAGCAUUCCAAGACAAUAAAAAGUGGUUGUUUUUAUGUAAACAAAGGAAACAACCAACCUGAAUGUGGUACAGUUUAAGGAUAACGUACCCAAUCCCUGGUAUUAACGGGUAAUUACCCCACCACUUGCUAAUCGAACUAGCAGUGACACCCACCGAGGUGGAGACUCCAAGUUGCCAAGGAGGAAAACAACCAAUAAUGGGGAUAAAACCCAUUUGCAUGAGAAAAACCACUUCUAGAGGAAAAUUCCUCCAGAAAAUCGGGAUCCAACCGAUAAGCAAAGCAAUUUUUAAAGGAAAAUUGCUAAACCCAUAACCGUCAAUUCCUUUAAUCAUCAAAAAAAAUCAUGAUUCUCCUUUCCCAUAGGAACACCCCACUUCCUUUUAACUUCAUUAUCAAACCCCAAAAAUUCACUUUUGAGACCAAUAAGCUUGAGGCGGAUAUCUUCAAAAAUAUUCAAAACAACUUUCAUCCCCUCAUUCUUUCCUUUCCUAAAAAGCCUAAUAUUUCUUUCUCUCCAAACAUAAUAAACAGAAGCAGCAAAAGCAAUUUUCACAAUGAACACUUGAAUACUUUUACCCUUAAGCAGCCCCUGAAGUUCUUCAAUCAAUUCCAUCCAGCUAUGGGAUUUAAUUUUAAUCUCCACUCUAUCAAUCACAACUUUCCAGACAAAUUUAGAGAAGGGACACUCAAAAAACAAAUGAGAGUGCGAAUCAGACUGUUCAUUACAAAAAACACAAUUAAGAUUUUUAUUCUUAUCCCAAAAUCUCAUUCUAUCCUGUGUCAUGAGUCUCUCCUGAAUAGCAAGCCACAAUAUAAAAUUGUGUCUUGGAAUUCUAUGCUUGAACCAAACCAAAUGGACCCACGACACAUCAGGACCAAAAUCAGCAAGAUCUUCACAGGCUUUUUUAAUGCUAAACUCAAACAUUUUCCCAGAUUUAUUCCUCCACAUAACUUUAUCAGAAUUAAGAGAAUCAAGAACAGGAAGAUUGAAAUUCCUAAGCUGAGGAAUUAGAUCACACCAUUCACCAGGCCAAAACCAAGAAUCAUCAACCAUAACAUCUUUGACCUUAUUAGAAAUAUUGAAUCCAGCUUGCGAAAUUUCUCUAGGAGAGAGAACAUAAGAGAAAGGUCCCAGCGGAUGCCAAUCAUCAAACCACAUAAAAGUUGUAGCUCCAUCACCAAUUUUAUUACAGAAAUGAACACGAACCACAUCUUUUAGCUUAAUGAGAUUCCGCCAACUCCAACUAAGCCCAUUCUUUUUCUCUAUAUCCCAAAAACUUCUCCCUUUUAAAAGAUUAAUUUUGGCCCAUUUUACCCAAAUAGAAUCAGCCUCAGAGAUAAUUAACCAAAUCCGUUUAGAUAAGAUAGCCUUGUUCCAAACUCUAAGACUUCUAAGACCCAAUCCUCCCUUAUUCACAGGUUUGCAAAUAGACGACCAUGCCACUUUAGCUCUUCCUUUUUUUGAUUCAUCAUGGUUCCAUAAGAAAUUCUUCAUCAUCUUUUCAAUUUCCUUGAUUGUACUAAUAGGAAUAAGCAUACUAGAGGCCCAGUACACAGGAAGAGAAAAGAGAAUUGAAGAGAUAAGCUGCAAUCUUCCAGCAUAAGAAAGAAACUUAUUUUUCCAAUCUCCAAUUCUUUUCCUAACUUUAUCAACAAGUCUUUUACAAUCUUUAAUAAAGAGCCUUGUGGAGAUCAAAGGUAAUCCCAAAUAUUUCAUUGGCAGCUUUCCUUCCACAAAAGAAAGAGUUCGAAGAAUCUUAUUCUUUAUAUUAUCCUUAACAUUUCCGAAAAAAAUGUGACUUUUAGCAAGAUUUGGAAAAAGCCCUGCCACCCCUGCAAAUUCAUCAAGCGCUUCUUUAACCACCCUAGCCGAAGCUUUAUUUCCAUGACAGAAAAUCAUCAGGUCAUCUGCAAAACAAAGGUGAGUGAUUUUUUGCUUUUUACAACUCCAGUGAUAUUUGAACAUCUUUUCAUUGCGAAUUCUUCUUUGAAUUAUCAAAUUAAAUAUUUCCAUGACAAGAGUAAACAAAUAGGGAGAGAGGGGACAACCCUGUCUAAGACCCCUCUUACCCUCAAAAAAACCAUGAAAAGUACCAUUAAUACUUAACAUGUAAGAGGGUGUACUAACACAGCUCAUUAUCCAUUUGAUCAUAACAGGGUGAAAUCCAAAGAAAAAAAGAAUGUCUUGAAGAAAGGACCAAUUAACCGUAUCAUAAGCCUUUUGAAUGUCCACCUUCAUAGCACAUCGAGAAAACCCUCUGUCACGAUGGUACCCCUUGACUAACUCUUGCGAUAACAAAAUAUUAUCAACAAUUGAACGACCAGGAAUAAAAGCGGAUUGAUUGUCAGAAACAAUAGAACACAAAUGAUUCCAUAUUCUUCCAACAAUAAUCUUACUAAUGCAUUUAUAAAUAACAGAACAACAAGAAAUCGGCCUAUAAUCACUCACCUUCCCAGGAGUAUCAAUCUUAGGAAUUAAAGCAAUAACAGUGGCAUUGACUUCUUUGAGUAACUGACCAUUGCAGAAAAAUUCCUUGACAGCUUGGCAAAAAUCAUUUCCAACAACAGUCCACAUAGACUUAAAAAUUUUUUGCAGAAAAUCCAUCAGGCCCAGGAGCCUUAUCAUCAUCAAUAUCAAAAAGCGCAUUCUUAAUUUCCUCAUCAGUUACCACCUUAACCAUUUCAACAGCUUGCACAAGAUCAAGCUUUUUAGAAAACAAAGAAUGAGGAUUAUUGAUCUCAGCACAAGGAAUCGCAGCCCCCAAAAAAUUAGAAAAAUACUCGAUAAAAACUUUGGGCACAUCUUCACCUUCAAUCCAAUUCCCUUCAUCAUUCAUAACAACUUUGAUAUUGUUUCUGAUUAUUUUGCCUUUGACAACUUUAUGGAAAUAUUUAGAAUUACUAUCUCCUUCCUUUAGCCAUCCCACUUUCGCUUUUUGCUUUAAAAAACUUUCUUCUUCAGCAUAGGCCUUAUUAAACUCAUCAAGAAAAAUAGCCUCCAAAUCCCUAAGCUCAGAAUUGAACGGAUCUUUAUCGAGAUCAGCUUGAACAGCUUCAAGUUCUUUACGACAAUGAGCAACCUUUUCAGACAGAUGACCCUGAUUUCUUAACAACUUUCGGAUAGGCUUUUUAAGAAUUUUGAGUUUUUGAACCAAUUGAAACAUUUUAAUCCCUUUUAUUUCAGCAUUCCAAUGGGAUUCAACCAAAACCUUUAAUUCCGGACAGCUAGUAAGAACAUUAGAAAACUUGAAAGGUAAAACUUUGAACUUCAUCUUCAAAGGAAUUUUAAUAACCACAGGGCUAUGAUCAGAAAUGCCAUAAGGAAGAAAUGAAGCAUAAAUAGAAGGGAAAUCAUCAAAAAGUCUACAAUUACCCAUGACCCUAUCAAGCUUCUUUAAAAUGCCAUUUUUUCCACGAGGCUUUUGAUUCCAGGUAUAGUUCAGCCCAUUACAAUUAAUGUCUUGAAUUUCAAGACAAUUAAUGCAAUCAUGAAAAUCCUCCAUGCCUAUAGAAAACCUAGAAGAACCGACAGUGCUUUCAUUGAGAUUAAGCAUGACAUUGAAAUCCCCUCCUAUAAUCCAAGGAUCAUCACGAACAAAAUCUUUGAAAUGCUUGAGCGAAGACCAUAAAACUCUUCUAUCAAUAUAUUUAUUAGCAGCAUAAACAAAGGAACAGAAAACAUACUUAUUAUUAGAAGGAAAACUAAUUUUACAAUGUAUAACUUGAUCAUUAAGAUCAAUCAAGUUAACAUCAAACCAAUUAGAAUUCCAUCCAACAAUAAUACGUGUAGUAUUUCCCUUAUUUCUAUUAUUAGCAACCCACUUCCAUGACCCAAAGAUCUUAUCACACUUCUCAUCGAGUUUACUAGCACAAACUUGGGAUUCAAGAACAGCUAGAAGACUCAAAUUAUUCUCCUUUAUCAAAUUUUUUAUUUCUUUUUGCUUAGGGGCCAAAUUAACACCCCUAAUAUUCCAUAUACCAAAACUAAGCAUCAUUGGGAAAGGCUUCCAAAUUGGUAUCAGUCAAAGGGAUACCUCCUAUAACAUCCAUUUGAUCAACUAUGUUCAAGUAAGCCAAAUCAUCUUCAUUAACUCCUUCCUUAGAAAAAACAAAAGGAUUCUCCUCUUCCAUAUCUUCCAAAACAUCGAAUUUAUUUUUAGAAACAAUUUUAUCAGAAUCAAAAUCCUUCAAAGAUCGAGAAUUCACAUCAAAAUUGGAACUUAUUUUUAAAUCAGGCCCUGAUUUCGGAAUAUACUUUUGCCCGAUAUCAACUUUUACCUCUAUUUCUUCUUUCUGUUUAGUCCCCUGAAUAGUGCGAUUAAAUGAAUUCCCCUGAUAACCCUUUUUUUCCCAAACAUCCCUGUUUCUUUUUCCAUUUUCCAAUUAUUGUUAUUAUUAUUAUUAUUACUGUUCUGCCCUUUUUCGAAAACAACUCCAUUGAAAUUGCCAUUCCCAUUUUGACUUUUCCCAAAAUACCCCUGAUUACCUUUUCCUUUAUUCACUCGAUUUUCACCGUAAUUGACUCCAGCUUUUCCUUGUUUAUUCCAAUUUUGCCCUUGAUUCCCAUUGUUCGAACCAUUCCCAUCAUUACCAUUCCUUUGCAUUUUCCCAUUUUGCCCUUGCCCAACAUUCUGAUUCUUCUUCCCUGUUUCAGCUUUCCAUUUUUCCCCAGCAUUAUUCCCUUUGUUCUUUUUAACAACUUUUUGAAAUCCCUCAUCAUCCACUUCAACUUUUUUUGUGCUAUCAAUUAAAACUUGCAUAAGAUCAAUCUUGACUCCCUUCAAAUUAUCCUCCUUUUUACUAUUAUUAUUAAUUUCAUUAACUUGAUUAGCUAACAAAAUUCCACAAUUAGAAUCCUUAUGUCGAUACACUUUGCAGUGAGAACAUUUUGAAGGGUUCCAAGCAUAUUCAACUUUACAUUUGGACGAAAUUCUAUCACCAGUAACAAGAUCCGAAGAAUAAACUUCAAUUUCUUUGAGCCAAUCUUUAGCAGCCGACAUUUCAAUUAGGAUUCUCAUAAAAGCUGGCCUUCCCCAAUGCUCUUGACACAUCUUGGCAGUGUGGGCAUCAACAUCUAAUGGCUUUCCAAUCUCCCAUGCAAUAUGACUAAGCCCAGUCCCAUUCCAAUAUUCCAAAGGGACAUUAUAAAUUUUCACCCAAACAGGAACCUUGUCAUGUUGAUCUUUGAUUGAGCUUACUCCUGUAGUCCAUCUUCUCACAAUAAGAGCACUAUCAAAAAUCAUCCACACACCCCCUUCCAAAACAUUUAGCAUACCUUGUUCCGAGCUAAAUCUGAAAAAAUAAAUCCCUUCUUCAUUUACCAUGACCUCUUCCAACCCAUGUUUUUUCCACGUAUUAUGCGCAAACUUGUUAACAUUGAAAAAGUUCACAUGUUUGUCGAUAAAAUACCCAUAAAGAGUUGUCUUAAAGGGACUGCAACCUUUAAGGAUAUCACACAAAGGCAUCUCCACAACACCAACAGGAAGAUCAACAUUUUUCUUGAUUUUAGAAAUAAGAUUAGCAGCAUUAAGUUUCUUACCACUAACUUUUUCAGCAUAAGAAAUUGGUUCAUUAACUUUUGGAUCCACAUUACUCAAAUUUGGACAUGAUAUACUCGACUUAUUCUUCAUUUCCCCUGAUUUCAUUUCUUCUAACAUAACUUCUGAAAUGAGUAACCCACCAUUACUGUUUCGAUUAUUUCCUAUUAUACCCUCUUUAUCAUCAACAGCCAUUUGGACAUUAUUACCCUCUUCUUCCGGAUCAACAUAAUUGAAUCUAAAUUCCCCCUCAUUAGCAAUUUCAAGAUGACUGAACUUGCUGGGAAAAUGAUAAAUGAUCUCAUUACAAACUUGUUCCAGCUGCCUGCUCACCAUUUCAUCAAUUUCAAUCUUCCUUUUCUCCUUCUUCUCCUUAACCAAAUUUUGCAUUGAACAGAUGUUAUUAAGAUCAACAAUUACAGGUUCAUUCAAAUUAAGAUUAGGAACUCCUUCAGGCAGAAGAUUAAUCACAGUUUCUCCGACUUUUUGAAGACCAUCGGACGCUUCUAACUCAGUUGAUUUCUUCAUAUUAACUGCAGCAGGAAACAGAGUAGAAGAAGGUUUAAUAGGAAUACGAACCUUCCCAAAAUUAGCUUCAACCUUCUUCUUCAUUUUGCUAGUACAGAGCUUGUGGAAAACUUUCUCUUUUUUCUUAUUACUCAGAUCUUUCCAGUUCAAAAGCAGCUCAUUCCUUUGGCUAACCAAAGAAAUCUUCUUAACAUCAUCGAUAGAAUCAACAAUCGAACCAUCAGAAACAUUUCCACUGUUAUAUUUCUUCUUUGUGAACCUCAAUCCAUGGACAAAUCCUUCCUUCUCAUUCACAGUUAAGCAAUUCCAGAAUGCCAUCAUAGCGUUCUUCUCUCCAGGACCGCAAUGUUGAGCAAUAUCUUUUUCAAAUUCAAGGACAGGGGAACUCAAACCAUCAAUUACACCCUCUUCCACUUUAAUUGGAUUAAAACAUCCAGGAUCAUUCGAAGAAAAGACAUCACGAUCAGAUUUAAUAGCACUAAGGAUAACAAUCGGUUUCAAUUCAACAUCAUUCAAUUUGAUAAACGACCCUAAGUCCUCAGAAUCCAUAAGAAUAUCUUCAUUUUUCACCUUAGAGAAAGAAUCAGAUAGCGUCUUAUCCAAAUUAGGAGAAUCAAGCAUACUAACUUCAAUCAAAUUUUUUGGAUCAUGCGAAAUAGCUUCCGAUUCAAAUUUGUUGACAAGAGAAGUAACAGAUUUAGCUUUAGGAGAAUCAAUUAACAAUUUAGAACCAACUCCAGAAUCGGAUUUCAUCUUAUUCUUCAUAUUCGCGUUUUUUCCUUUUUUCUUCAUAAUCACGUCAGGUUCCAAAUCAGGGGGAACACCCUCCAUACACCCAAAUCACCAGUAUGAAUGGAUAGAGGAUGAAAAGACGAAUAAAUUGAUACCAAUUUCAAGCUGAACGGUUGCCGGAAUUGCGAACGGUGCCGGAAAAACGAGGUUGAAAACGGGAAAUCGCCAGAGAAGAGAAAGAAACGGGUUUAGGGUUUAGGGUUUAGGGUUUAGGGUUUGGGGUUUGGGGUUUAGGGUUUCGGGUUUCGGGUUUUGGGUUUCGGGUUUCGGGUUUCGGGUUCGGGUUUAGGGUUUAGGGUUUCGGGUUUCGGGUUUAGGGUUUAGGGUUUCGGGUUUCGGGUUUAGGGUUUAGGGUUUCGGGUUUUGGGUUUAGGGUUUAGGGUUUAGGGUUUAGGGUUUAGGGUUUAGGGUUUAGGGUUUAGGGUUUAGGGUUUAGGGUUUAGGGUUUAGGGUUUAGGGUUUAGGGUUUAGGGUUUUUUUUUUCUUGGGAAAGGGGCCGAAGCCUCGGCAAAGAUUUUAUAAAUUCAGAAAAAAGAAAAACAAGAGUUAUGUCAUUUUUG
rnacentral:lncRNA from 1 species